UUCGAAGCCCCCUUUCGUUAUUUGGUUGAGUUUCAGUUCCAAAGUAGUGGAUUGCUGAUGUUCAAUUCUUUUGGUUGAGGUUCUUGAAUUCGGGACUUGGAGGAUGGGAAUUGAAAUGAAAGGGGAGCUUCUGGUCUUGGUUUCGAUUUCAGUUUUGAUGGGAUGAGGAAGAACUGAUGAGGGCCAUGAGGUGCAGUAGGUCAUUGAGUUCAUGACCUUGGCAAGAAUCGGGAUAGGAGCGAAGUUUUGGAUGAAGGACCUUAGUCUGAGGCCACCACUGCGUCGAAGAGUUCUGUAAGGGACAUGGUAAAGGUCUUGGGUAUCUUGAACAUAUAUUGUCGUGAUCUGAUUGUAUAUGUUGAAGUUGUGGUUUCAUUGAAUACACGAAGUGAACUUUGGUUUGCAAUA